GACGAACGCUGGCGGCGUGCCUAAUACAUGCAAGUCGAACGCAGUGGGGACGGGUGAGUAACACGUGGGUAACCUCCCAUCCGAGGGGAUAACACUUGGAAACAGGUGCUAAACCGAUACUGAUGGAUGGACCCGCGGUGCAUUAGCUAGUUGGUGGGGUACCGGCGCACCAAGGCCACGAUGCAUAGCCUACCGGAGAGGGUGAUCGGACAUACCGGGACGGAGACACGGCCCAUGCUCCGACGGGAGGCAGCAGUAGGGAAUCUGCGGCAGUGGACGAAAGUCUGACCGAGCAACGCCGGGUGUGGGAAGAGGGUUUCCGGAGCUGAAGAUUGGGUGGUUAGAGAAGCGGUAUGUAACCAGAAAUCUACGUCGAACUACGUGCCAGCAGCCGCGGUAAUUC
rnacentral:rRNA from 1 species